GACGAACGCUGGCGGCGUGCUUAACACAUGCAAGUCGAACGGAAAGGCCCUGCGUUUGUGGGGUGCACGAGUGGCGAACGGGUGAGUAACACGUGUGUAACCUGCCCCUGACUUUGGGAUAACACUAGGAAACUGGGGCUAAUACCGGAUAGGAGCUCUUGCUGCGCGUGGGGCGGUAGUAAGUUUCGGCGGUGGUGGAUCGACUCGCGGCUUAUGAGCUGGUUGGUGGGGUAGUGGCGUACCAGGCCUGCGACGGGUAGCCUGCGUGGGAGGCCGGACGGCCACAUUGGGACUGAGAGACGGCCCAGACUCCUACGGGAGGCAGCAGUGGGGAAUAUUGCACAAUGGGCGGAAGCCUGAUGCAGCGACGCCGCGUGCGGGAUGACGGCCUUCGGGUUGUAAACAACUUUCGCCUGAGACGAAGCUUUAUUGACGGUAACUGGUAAAGAAGCACCGGCUAACUACGUG
rnacentral:rRNA from 1 species